rnacentral:rRNA from 1 species
ACUCAAAUGAAUUGACGGGGGCCCGCACAAGCGGUGGAUCAUGUGGUUUAAUUCGAAGCAACGCGAAAAACCUUACCUAGGCUUGACAUCCUCUGACCGCUGCAGAAAUGCAGUUUUCGUAGCAAUACGACAGAGAGACAGGUGCUGCAUGGCUGUCGUCAGCUCGUGUGGUGACAUGUUGGGUUAAGUCCCUUAACGAGCGCAACCCCUGCUAUUAGUUGCCACCAUUAAGUUGGGCACUCUAAUAGGACUGCCGUGGUUAACACGGAGGAAGGUGGGGAUGACGUCAAGUCCUCAUGGCCUUUAUGCCUAGGGCGACACACGUGAUACAAUGGACGGUACAAAGAGAAGCGAAUGGGUGACCACAAGCAAAUCUCAAAAAACCGUUCUCAGUUCGGAUUGAAGUCUGCAACUCGACUUCAUGAAGGUGGAAUCGCUAGUAAUCGUGGAUCAGCACGCCACGGUGAAUACGUUCCCGGGCCUUGCACACACCGCCCGU